CAAAAUAUUUAAUCUAUAUGACAUAUUAAAUAAUAAAUAAUUUAAACAUUAUUAACAAAUUAAUAAAUUAUUGGACCCAUACUAAUGAUCUAAAUUUAUUUGAUGAAAAAAUAAUCUAAACAUGUUAAUGGCAUAGUAAUAAAUAAAUAAAUAAUUCAUAUUCAUUGCAUUUCAUCCAGAUUCAUCGCACAAAGUUAUAAACUCAGAUUCAUCGCAUUUCACCGAUCAUCAUCAUCCUUCAGGAAAAUCCCUAAAUCACAAAAAAAAACCCUUCUUUCAUCUAUCGUCAUGUUUAUUGCAGUCGCGAAAAUCCUAAGGCUUAGAGAUUCAUCAACAAUCGCCCAUUCCUUUGUGUAGCACUGUGAGUAAUUUGACUUUAUCCUUUAGGAAAACCCCUAAAUCGCAAAAACCCCUUCAUCUAUCGUCAUGUUUAUUACAGUCGCAACAAUCUUGAGGUUUAGCGAUUCAUCAACAAUCGUCCCUUCCCUUGUAUGCUUAAAAGAAGCUGCGAGAAAGGAUAUGGGUUCUACAUUUUUUGAUGCAAACUUGUAUCCACAAGGUUCUACGGGUGGUGUUCCAGAGCCCCUUCACCCUAAACCUGGUAUGUUAAAGUAUUUGAUAAGAUAUAGAUGCUUGAACCACUCAGUUUAACUGCUUUUCAUUUGUAUUAGGACUUUGUUCGGCUUCCUUGGAAAAACCAGUCUAGCCAGAACAUUCAAUGCCUGCUAGUGUUUCUAUUCAAUCUGCUAACAGUGGCUUAACUUAUCCGGUGGGAAAGAAAUUGAGAAAGGUAGAAGGUUUGUACUUCGUGCCCCAGUAUAAGACGGAGAGUGAGAAUGAUGAUGAGGAUGACAAAGCGUUGGUGGUAUCCAGCACUGGAAAACACUUCACUUGUGAUGACCUUUAUUGACAGUGAUGAUUCCUAUGUUGACCUUGAUUUUGAAGUGCAACCUUAUCUGAUGAAUAAAGUUGGGGAGGUAGAAGGUGCCUUGAUUGAGUUGGCACACGAACAUCAUUCAAGGGUUACCGUGAGUGGUUCUAUUUUGAUCCCAAUGCACCUGUUACCAAUUUGACUUGAUGAAGUCAGGAAUAAGAUAUCAGCUUUGAAGACAGCUCUACUGAAUGAAAGUCAGAACUCUCUUUCUUCCCUUCUUCGAGUUGAGAAAUACAAAGAAACCAGGCAGGAGUUGGAUAAAAAGUUUGACACUCAAUAUCAACGCCAAAUGGAACCAAUGCAUUUUGUAGUGGUGGUGACCAGGCCUAGAGGACUCAAGAUGGUUAUUCCGAUAGUGAAAAUACCAGUCGCCUUUAUGUGUUAGACUUGCAGUUUAUUCCGUAAACAUUAGUCGGAUCUUGACUUUGAGUCGGAUCCAUGGCCAACAAUCUCUGACAGUGCUAAAGAUUUGGUAAAACUGAUGUUGGAUAGAGACCCUAAGAAUAGAAUCUCUGCUCAUAAUGUCUUAUUGAUAUAGGGGUGAUAUCUGAAGAGUGGUUCAAUGAGAUGAGGAACAAUGCAUUAAGUACAAACUUUGAAUAAUUGAGCUCAUUUUGAAUUUUCUUUUGGGUUAUUUGUAUCUCCCAUACCUACAUUUAGGAGAAUUAUCAGAAAUGGUUCAACAGAAAUGUUCUCAGGGUUACUUUACAUUUAUUCCUUAUUGAACUGCUUAAUUUGUUUGUGGUAUGGAACUCCUUUGAUAUCACAUGAUAAUAUUUUGGUUACAACGGUUAAUUCGAUUGGAACGGUUACUUUGGCUUCUCGUUCAUAUAAAUACAAUCUAUGUAAUCAUGAUAUAAAUCAAUUUGCGGAGCAGAUAUGCUCUAGACGUAUGAAUUUGAGAGGUUUGCCUUUUUUUUUUGUAAAUUAAAAGAACUAAGCUAGUAAUUUAUUGUAGUCAUGUCUUAAUAACAUGUAUGUAUGCUAUGUAUGCCACGGACAUGCCGUCAAUGAAACCUCAUGGCUGGCAGGAUGAAUCUAUGAAGUAAGUAUUCUUUUAGAAAAACAUUUCCAAGCAUACAAGGUUCUUCCUUUUUUCUCUGCUGAAUGGUUCUGCAUAUAUAUAACAUGGUUUGGUUUCCUGCAGGUCUGCAUUUGGAAGAGCAAGAAGAGGCACCAUUGGAAUGAUAUGCAUGGACUUCACAGAAUCAGAUACAGACAUAUCAUUCGUAAGCUCUGGGAGGCCAAGCAGUGCUUAUUCAUCCUCUAUUUACGAUUGCAUGGACUCCGCUCAAACUUCACAAGUUUCUACUAGUUCAAAUUGUAUUGUAAAUAAUGGUUUAUGAAUAUAUGCCAAAUGUCACACUAAGGGAUCACCUUUCUGUUACAUCAAAAGAACCUCUGACUUUUAUCACGAGAUUGAAAAUCGCGCUAGGGUCAGCUAAAGGUCUCAUGUAUCUACACAAUGAAGUUGAUCCUCCCAUAUUUCAUCGGGAUGUCAAGGCCAGCAACAUAUUAUUGAACUCAAAGCUCGCUGCAAAAGUGGCAGAUUUUGGACUUUCAUGGCUUGCCCCAGUUCCAGAUAUGGAAGGCAUUGUUCCUGGUCAUGUAUCUACAGUGGUAAAAGGGACACCGGGUUACCUUGAUCCGAAGUACUUCUUAACUCACAAGUUGACCGACAAGAGUGAUGUUUACAGUCUCGGUGUUGUGUUUCUUGAACUUUUGACCCGAAUGCAUCCUAUCUCACAUGGCAAAAAUAUUGUUAGAGAGGUUAUUCUUUCAUACCAAGCUGGCGUAAUAUUUUCAAUCAUCGACGAGCGAAUGGGGUCAGUAACAAUACUGAUGUGGGAUGUUGAUGCAAUUAUGUGCAUUUCUUGGAGCAGUUGUCCCGAAUUGGCUUAAUAGUAACUUAAAAUUCUUUGCUGUGUUAUCCUUCCGGCGUGUUUAGAAUUUCUUCUACCGUCAUUCACUCUCAGCCAGUUGACAUUUUUUUUGUGCUCCAGUCAUGUUUCAUUGUGAUUCAACCAGCUGCAGCUUCUCUGGUGAUGGUGAAACUCAUUCAUCCCUGCAAGUCCUUAUACAUGCUAGCUGUUAUAAACUUGUUAUUAAGUGAAUUAUUUCAAUUGGUACCAUUAAGAAGUUUGACUAACAUUGUGUUUUGUUUCUGUUUGAGAUCAUUUCUAUAGAGAAUAUUGAACAAUAAUCAUUGUUAUUAAGUGAAUUAUUUCAAUUGGUACCGGUUUCUAUCACUAACCUUUAGAUGUGGCAUGGUUUGUAUGAUGCAAAUGGUUGAAAAUCAAAAGGUUGAGGAGGAAAAUCUACAAGAUCAAAUACAAAUGGUUGAAGAGGAUAAGGACAUAGAAAUGUUGCCAAAAUGAAAGCCAAAGAAGAAGAAGAAAACUUAUAUAUGAAGAAAGUGUUAUGACUUAGUUAAAAUAUAAUUUUUAUGUGUAUGAUUUUAUAGUAGUUGAAAUAUUAUUACUGUACAUGAUUUUCUAUACUUUUUGGUUAAUAUUAAAAAUAUUUUGACUUAGUUAAAAUAUGAUUUUUAUGUGUA